AGAAACUUUAGGGUGUUUUCUAUCCAAAGCCAAUAAUUAUAUGCAUAUUCUAGUUGCUGGGCAGGAGUAGUAACCAGAUUAAAUCGGGUACGUUUUUUAUCCAGCCGUGUCAAUACUGCCCCCUAGCCCUAACAGGUUAAGAUUCAUACUGUCAUGACUGUCCUGAUCAGGUUAUGUUACAGGAGACUACAACUCUACAGAGUAUCUCUCACCCCCAACAGAGGAGGAGCGAUCUAGGGGUCUGAAGAUGUGGGGGUUUUAUGACCCCUCACGCCCAUGAUAAAUCUCAGGCCACAGACAAAAAUUCCUUUGUCCUCUCACUAUGGAAAACCAGCCUCAGAACAUUAAACAUGCAAUAAAGGGACUUUGGAACAAUGGUUUCCGUCAGCCACAAUGGUGGUCAUGACGAUAGAUGGAAUAUAAAAAUGUAAUUUUUGUGUUGUUACUAAAGGUUAAUCGGUGAUGUUAUUACGAAAACAUUGUAACUUUAAGAGUUUUCCCAGUAUAUGCCUGAUGUUUAUACAUUGUACAUUGUGUGGAAAAUGUUCAAAUCAAAGAGAAUGUUUUGGUAAAGAUGAAAUGUGAAGUUAGUUGUCUAAAAUUGGAUUUGAGUAAAAUCUAGACCUUGCCUCUUAACUUGGUACGCCCAGAGAAUUGCCCUAAAGGCGGUUACGCCCACUUCUGACCCGAGGGUAUAAGACAUGGGGGUUAAGAAUGAACAGAACAGGCUAAGUGACCCAAGCUGCAGCCAAGGUCUAAAAAGUCAACGAACCCCAAAACGCAACACAAGGAAGAAGACAAAGAAAUAUUUUUCUACCAAUGCUAUGGAUGAGUAGCCGUGUCUAAGCGGGUGAAUUCAAGCCGAACCACCUAGCCUACACUCCCCAUCGAAUCGUGGUAUCUACGCUGAGCUACGGAGCUGUCUGUCCUCAGACGACCCCUAUCAGAGCAAGGGCGAGGAAUCGGACCACUAAGCCAAAAGAACACUGACAUCGUGAGGACAACCAGAGAGUUGCGCCGGAGAAGUGCGUCAUUGAGAAGCCUAAACGACCCACGCAGAGCUUCCCAUCUGAGACCUCCAACACGUAAUUACAUCAUUAUAUUCUGACCCAUAAGAGUGGCAGUUCGGGGCAAGGCUAGGGUUAAAAUAAGCAUAGCUGACGAAUGCACCCAAAUGUAUAUUUCUCUCGUGUACGUUCUCUUUUUCUUUCUCUUUUAAAUCCCCAUUUUGGGUAACACGCACCAUAGUGUGUUGGCCCGUUAUACUAAGUCCUAAUCAAUAGCCUAGACUGUCUUUUGUGUAUGUGUAUCUUUUAUCAUCAUUUUAGCUUUCUAGUAAAUAAAUAAUCAACUAAGAUUGGUGUGGUACGAACUCAUUGGUGGGACCCGGGUCUGUGCAGAUUCCCGGAUUAUGCGACGUUCAGAAUGAGACUGUAGAGGAAAUUGAUUAAUUAGUGAAUGUUGUAAAAUCGAUAUUCUGAUAUUCUUUGAGUGAAUUUGGGAAAUGGAAACUCAAUAAAACUAAUGUUCCCAUGGUGCCCCAGGUUAAUGAGUUAAUAAUUGCUUGAUUCAUUUAAUCACGCAAUUUUAAACCGUUAAUCAUUCGAUGAGCAACAGUCGUCACAUUAACUAAUACAACGUCACGACAAUAUGUAAUGCUUUAGAGGAAUCAAUAUGUAUUAACUGGGUUGGCACUGUCUUAGUCCCCAGUAGAUGUCGCGCUCCGUCCAUAAUAAGUCUGGCACCUGAGACAACAGGGAAACAGAUGCAGUUCCAUAUUGCCUACUCACAAGUUGGUUUAGAAUGUCAUCAUUUGGGAUAUCAACAAAAACUCUAUCAGGAGCACAAUAAAUAUUAACCUUUUAAGUUCUGAUAACAGAAAAUCAUGUUCAACAUUCAUUGGUUCUAUUUUACAGGGUAUGGGCUUAUUUCAAAAUGCAUUAUCAUGGUGGGGGAAAUCUUCUAAGAACUUAUAGUUUUUAUUGGUUAGGGGUAAGUCAAGUCCCGUACAAUGCUUUAACCUUAUCAUUUCUCAAAUGAACCAUAAAGGGAUCACUCUAAACAUUUCUCAGAAUACUUUUUUUCACCACUUGCGUGUGGGUGUGCUAGUUGUAUAUUAUUAUUUCUGUUCUAUUCUUAGUUCAUCAGAUAAUCAUAAAAACACAUUAUACAAAUAUUAUUUUACUUUAUCUCUAGUAUAAUCUGGGAAUAUCUCAUAUCAUAUCUCCAUACAUAAUAACAUUAUACAUUAAACUCCACCUGUGGAUCCAACAGCUGUGUUGGACAGACCCAUAGUUAACAUUACAGAUGGAAAAACUCAGCUCACACAAAUGUUGGGGGCAUUCAUUCAUCUCUUUCACACAUCUUUCACACAUGAGCUAGUCCCCUGAAAGCUCUCAUUCAUUCAAUACUUAAUAGCUCAAUUUCAAACCUCUUAUAUCCAAAUUUCAAUCAAUCAUUUUAUUAUCUAAAUUCCAAACAGCUUAACACCCACAUUUCAAUCAAUCAGUUUUUUAAUAUCAAAAUUUCAAUCAGCUUAACACGUCCUUUACACACUCACACAACUUUCACACUGGGAAAAUACCUGUUCAGUUAAUUAGUCAAGCACACAAUACUUUCAUCCACAUUCACUUAGUACUAUUCCCAAACACACUCAGUAAUCUCCUGUAUAACUCGGUGUUACCUCCUAUGCAUACAUAUGUAUCUUCUGCGGUUCCUCUAUAGUCUCCAUAGUAGCCAUAGCCAUAGCCAUAGCCUCUACAGUAUCAACAGUCCCUGAGAAUCAAGCAUUAACAGUCCCUGAGCAUCUAUAGUCCCAAUAGCAUCCAUAGUCCCUAUAGGUACAGUUGUCAGAGCAGCUCACAGAUCACUGCACCUGUACAUAGCCUAUCUAUAAUUUAGCCCAAACAACUACCGCUUCCCCUACUGUAUUCAUUUAUUUAUUUAUUUCGCUCCUUUGCACUCCAUUAUUUCUAUUUCUACUUU
rnacentral:lncRNA from 1 species